rnacentral:lncRNA from 12 species
AAUAAAUAAAAAUCUUUAAAAGAAUUGCAAGUACACACACAGUUAUAUACACACAUAUGCAACUAGAAGGCACCCACUUUAGUUUAUAUAUUUGGAAAGAUAGCUUCAUUUUCCCUAAGAAAGUGAAGGAAAAUGGCUCUAAUUAUUUUUCUGUUGCAGACAAAAUAUAAGAAUGCCAUACUGCUUGCUUGUGAUUCUACUCAUUUACUUAAUGAAGAAAAAGAAGAGCAAACGUUCUCACUAAGGACUUGAUUCAUGUGUAUAGUGAUUGCUAGAAAUGCCAGCAACCUCCACAUGUCUGUUGGUAAAGAGGCAGAAUUCAAGUGUGAGGAUUGGGAAGAGGGCAGUAGGCAGUCAGGACUUCAAGUAGCAUCUUGUAGUUAUUAUGUCACCAGUGAAUCCCUCCAGAAGCAACAGAUAAGUAGGACAUGAAUUUUGACCUCAAGUCCUGAGGCAAAGGAAAUCAAGUGUUCAUCCCUAGAUAUUAAGUGUGGGAGAAAGAUGCUGUUCAACACCUAGGACUGAUCGGAAAAUUCAUUUUGGAGAAGUUGAG